rnacentral:lncRNA from 1 species
GGUGGAGGAGGGUGGAGGUGGUGGAGGGGCCGCAGCGGACACCACGGACCCCGCGGACGGAGCCUGGUUGUUUGCAAACAAGAUGCCUGAAGACAGCUGACUGAGGGAGGAGGGAACCGGAAGCAGGAAGCCGCCUGUUUUUCCUGGUCUCCACAAAGAUCGUCGAUUGAGUUUGUCCUUGGAGGCUUUUGUCCACUGCAGCUUUUCAUCUCGUCCCCUCGUUUGUCACAUCUCAAUCGAGCGAACCAAUCAAGGCAGCACAAAGGGGGAGUGACACUGUAGCCGGAGCCAGUGGUCGACAUAAAAGACAUAUUUAAUGGGCGACAGGACAUUCGCC